ACUCUAGUAUGGGAGCGCUUAACUUAUAUAAUAAUAAUAUAUCAUAAAUCUCAGUUCAUAUUGUAUAUUUCACCUUAGGGUGUCUAGGUUGACUGGAACACUCACUAGUAUGCAUGUAAUACGAGUAUAUUGUAUGCUAAGUGACAUUUACUCUAUUCUGUAUUUUAUACACUGAUUACUAAUUCGGAAUGUUUUGCGUUUUAUCUGCAUUUGACGCCAAGCUGGAAACCAAAGCAAUGUUAUCGCUAUGUGGGCAGUGGGUGUGGCCUGAUCGGGCUGGGCUGCUCCCUACACAUUUGCAUAUUUGCAUUUGCCAUGGCCUGCAGCGCAGACAGGCCAUGGGCUCUGUGUGUUAUGCUACACCACAGCUGCGUUGAUGUUUACUUAGUGUCGCUGAAUCUGGACAGUACGGCAUGGAUUGGGGCUAAGCAAGGAACUUUAAAGCCUCUUAAGGACUUGUUGAUUAUUAAUUUAUGGAUAUAUGCUAUAGAAAGGCGAAUCGCUUCAUACCUAAAUCGAUGGCUCCAUAUAUGUAUAUGUAUGUACAGACCAGGAGAUGUAAAGCAGGACUUAUCGGACAGAGCAACAAAGACGGAGGGUACAAAACGAAAAAGCCUCACUUGUGAACAGUGAAGAUGAUUACGCUGUUGUUAAUAACAAAACAUGACCAAAACGAGGUCGGUAUAAAAAAGGCAAACGUUUACUGUGGAAUGCAGUGUUAAUUAGUGCAAAUAAAUAAAAGGAUAAGCGUAAUGCGACAAAUGCCCCAAAAUA